rnacentral:rRNA from 1 species
CCUACGGGAGACAGCAGUGGGGAAUAUUGCACAAUGGGGGAAACCCUGAUGCAGCAACGCCGCGUGAGUGAUGACGGCCUUCGGGUUGUAAAGCUCUGUCUUCAGGGACGAUAAUGACGGUACCUGAGGAGGAAGCCACGGCUAACUACGUGCCAGCAGCCGCGGUAAUACGUAGGUGGCGAGCGUUGUCCGGAUUUACUGGGCGUAAAGGGAGCGUAGGCGGACUUUUAAGUGAGAUGUGAAAUACUCGGGCUCAACUUGAGUGCUGCAUUUCAAACUGGAAGUCUAGAGUGCAGGAGAGGAGAAUGGAAUUCCUAGUGUAGCGGUGAAAUGCGUAGAUAUAUGGAGGAACACCAGUGGCGAAGGCGACGAUCUGGCCUGCAACUGACGCUCAGUCCCGAAAGCGUGGGGAGCAAAUAGGAUUAGAUACCCCUGUAGUC